ensembl:lncRNA LINC02207 long intergenic non-protein coding RNA 2207
GGGAGUCAUCUUCACCCUCAGGCUGGUAGACUCCAGUCUCUUAGGUCAGAAUGGGAUUAGAGACCCGUUCCUGAACCAGUCACACACAGCGGGUGAAACUGCUAUGAUUGGUUUAGACUUAGAGACUGGAAUGGAUGCUGAUCCUUAGAAUAUACACAAAGUUUUCAUGGACCACACAUUAUGAAACACUGGAUUAGCGCAAAGUGAAAUGCUUCCAGAGUAGGAGCCACUAUUCUGAGGAAUCUUGGAAGAAAAAUCCCCAGAUAGCAGAUGACUGGUAGGAAGAUGAGGCAAGUUUGCGGUCCAUUGUCAUGGAUAGUGGAGACAACACUGGGCCAGAAGUGGUAAGACCUGAAUCCAAGACUCAGCUCUGCCACUUGCUAAAUGGGACUUUGAAUAAACCAUUUCUCUGCACUUAAGUUCCUUACCAACAAAACGAGGGAAGUGGCCUACAUGCCUAGAUAUCAACAUUUCAUGUCACGUAGAGAUCUAGCAUCACAAGAAUCCAAGUCAUCCUCUGUUGCCUUUAAGAAAUUAGAAUUAAAGGAAUCAGAAUUGAAGUGAAUCUGACUACACUAAGCCUAUCACUUGUGACAGCCAUGGGAAGAUAUCAUUGGUUGCUGAGGAGCAGAAAUAAGCAGAGACCUAUUGUGUUAGGUUAUCAUUCAUUUCAGUUGUUCCCCUUUGGCCUGUGAAGAGUGGAACAGGAGUUACACAAAUAGAGAUGAUUGCCUCUCCAUCCUGACAAAGUAUGAUAAAGACCACCGAAGUGUUGUACGCAAGAAAGCACAGGAUGGCUGGGAUGAGUGAACUAUGUAUCCCAGGUUUUACUUAGGCCUCAGCAUCCAGUGACAAAAAGCAGAUCAGCAAGUUUUCAUAUUGCACUAUUUUCAAUGGCUGGAGCAUCAACAUUUUACAACAAGAAAAAAAUUAAAAUUCUUCAACAUUUGGAAAAGAAGUGUUUGUAAAACUUUUCACAUCCAUUCACCAUCCGGAAAAGCAAGGUUUUACAGUGAGGCCUGAUGAUGUCUAGAGUCACCAUGCAUCUUGGAAAAUGACCUCCUAUUUAUUUCUUCUACAGGACACCAUGGUGUUCACCUUUCUACAACUUUACACUUGCUGAGGACAUAUUGUGGAAAAUUAAGAGAAAUAUAUAUGGAUGGCCAAGGCUGUAGAUGGAUGUCCAAGCCUUUUUACUGGGGAAUGUUUUCAGAACAAAAUGAGUUACAGGUUCAAGAGUGAAACCCAACAAAUCUUGGCUCUUUUUUUCUCUACUAAAUUCCAAAUCAAAA